rnacentral:rRNA from 1 species
GAGUUUGAUCCUGGCUCAGAUUGAACGCUGGCGGUAUGCCUUACACAUGCAAGUCGAACGGUAGAGGGGCAACCCUUGAGAGUGGCGAACGGGUGAGUAAUACAUCGGAACGUGCCCAGUCGUGGGGGAUAACGUAGCGAAAGCUACGCUAAUACCGCAUACGACCCGAGGGUGAAAGCGGGGGACUCGCAAGAGCCUCGCGCGAUUGGAGCGGCCGAUGGCAGAUUAGGUAGUUGGUGGGGUAAAGGCCCACCAAGCCUGCGAUCUGUAGCUGGUCUGAGAGGACGACCAGCCACACUGGGACUGAGACACGGCCCAGACUCCUACGGGAGGCAGCAGUGGGGAAUUUUGGACAAUGGGCGAAAGCCUGAUCCAGCCAUACCGCGUGCGGGAAGAAGGCCUUCGGGUUGUAAACCGCUUUUGUCAGGGAAGAAAUCCUUUGGGUUAAUACCUCGGAGGGAUACGGUACCUGAAGAAUAAGCACCGGCUAACUAC